GAACCAUGCUCAGGACAUUUCCACAGGAGAACCUUGAACCUAUCCCAUUUCUCAAAAAAAGACUACAAUUCCACUUGCACAAAAAGGAUAUGUCAUUCCUGAGCUU